UGGGUCUCCAGGGUCAUGCCCUGGGCUGAAGGCGGCGGUUCCACUGGGGCUGCCCUGUUACAAGGCAAGAGGUUAUGAGACCUCCAUUCCCUCAUCUUGACAAUGUGUUAGCGGUGCUACUCUUCCAGAACCAUACAAGAUUGGGCCAACCCAUGCUUUUGUGCAUCUGCUGUGUGCCAGGAAUUGUACGGAUUAGCUCCAGUGUGAGCACUCCUGCUGGUGGUGGCGGCGGCGGUGGUGGCUUGAAGGAGGAGAAAACACCAGGCCUUUGCUCUCUUUCCAACAUGUCCAGAAACUCCCGGAUGUCCCACAGACCCGGAUUCCAUGGGGUUCCUCGCUAAGCACCUGCCGUGUGCAUGUUUGUGUAGACACUGGGUGAGUGGCAGCCUGGUUCCGGGGAAUGAUGAAUCAUUCGGAGGAUGGAAGUGCCAGAAAAAUCUCCUGACAUAAAGGAGGCUGUUGUGACCUUUUACCUUUUG